rnacentral:rRNA from 1 species
CCUACGGGAGGCAGCAGUGGGGAAUCUUCCGCAAUGGGCGAAAGCCUGACGGAGCAACGCCGCGUGAUCGAAUGAAGGCCUUCGGGUUGUAAAGAUCUGUUGACAGGGACGAAUAAGCAAUGCGAAUAGUUUUGUGUCAGAAGGUACCUGUUUAGAACGCUCCGGCUACAUACGUGCACGCAGCCGCGGUAAUACGUAGGGAGAAAGCGUUGGCCGGAAGUACUGGGCGUAAGGGGCGAGUAGUUGGGCGCUUACGUCAGGUGUGAAAACUCCGGGCUCAACCUGGAGACUGCACUUGAAACUGGGUGUCUUGAGGGCAGGAGAGGAAAGUGGAAUUCCUAGUGUAGCGGUGAAAUGCGUAGAUAUUAGGAGGAACACCAGUGGCGAAGGCGACUUUCUGGACUGUACCUGACGCUGAGGCGCGAAAGCGUGGGUAGCGAACGGGAUUAGAUACCCCUGUAGUC